UGGCAUUAUGAAAUUUGCUAAGAAACAACUCAGUUGCAUUGGCUGCAAAGCCCUAAUUAGUAAUUCAGAUCGAACUCUCUGUUCACACUGUAAGGGAAGAGAAGCAGAAUUGUACUGCAAAACAGUUUCUCAAGUGUCUGAGCUAGAGUUGCUUUUUGGGAGGCUGUGGACACAGUGCCAAGAGUGCCAGGGCUCUCUUCAUCAAGAUGUUCUUUGCACCAGUCGGGACUGCCCAAUAUUUUAUCGGAGAAAGAAGGCNNNNNNNNNNNNNCUGAAGCCAAACGGCAGUUGGAUAGGUGGAACUUUUGAUCUGAUAACAAGUUUAGUACCUUAUUCAGCUUGCCUCUUUUAUUCACCGGACUGUAAUAUUUUAUUUUACAUAUUUUUAAAUAUACAAAUGUGAUGUUACUCGAUAGGGAAAAUCCAAAAGUCAAUCGUCUGAGAGGCUUGCAAUAGUUCAGGGUCCAAAUGAAUUGAAAGGUUGCUUUAUCUAAUUGUAAGAAUUAAGGCAGAAGCUCUGUUGAGUCAUGCAAUAAAAAAUGACAAUCGGAUUGCGCAGGGUGAAAUUCAGAUUGGCUUUUGGUAGUUGGGAAGUUCAACUAGGGGACAAGCUUACAAUGGUUGGAACUCCAUAUGCUGUCUAUAUAUGCUAUUUGUUUCACUGAUCUUUAUGCCGUCGAGAUGCUUCUCAACUGUAGAAAUGGUACUGUAGAAAUGGUAGUAUCAGUUUUGUUUUGUAGUUUUAUCUUUUUUAGGGUAAUCAAUAGUGUAAUUAAUACAUUUUCGGAGUUAUUUAAUAGAUAAAUGUCAACCCC
rnacentral:misc_RNA from 1 species